GGAAAUGUGGCUUAGUGGUAGAGUACUUGCCUAGCAUGCAUGAAGCCUUGGGUUCGACUCCUCAGUACCA
rnacentral:tRNA from 1 species